AUUUCCAAGUUAUUCCGAGGCCUAGGCUGAUUUUGAUGUUGAUUUCGAUAUCUCAGGCCUUCGGCUUAUUGAUUGGGAUGAGGAGAAAACCAGGAUUGUUGGUAAUGAAGACUAAAAGGUAGGGGUUGCUGGUAUGGCACUUUGGGCAUUUCUAACUUCUUAUUUUUCAGCCACUUGAAGGUUGGGAUCAAUAAGCUUUUUG
rnacentral:lncRNA from 1 species